AUCAUACUCUCUCCAUCCCAAAAUUCUUGUCUUAGAUUUGUCUAGAUACGGAUGUGUAUCUAAUACUAAAACAUGACUUGAUACAUUCAUAUUUAGACAAAUCUAAGACAAGAACUUUGGGACGGAGGGAGUAUAUA
rfam:Triticum aestivum genome assembly, contig: Triticum_aestivum_CS42_TGACv1_scaffold_094902_2AL